CGCUAUACUAUGCUAUACUAUACUAUAAACGGUUAUAAAAUUAUAAACAAAAUACAUAGCUAGUUACAUAUUUACGGUAUUACACAUAAUUACAUUCGUACAGAAACUUAUAACAUGCACUUCUACGAACAAGACAUAAAACAAGAACGACAUUUAGAGCAAAACGUUUUCCAAGUCCUUGGCCUAUUAACAUCAAAACAUGCAUUAAAAAAACAAACAUUAACAUGCAUUAAUAUAAUACCUAUACAAAGUUUUUAAUUGAAGAGAUAUAACUUCUUUGACACUAACCUUCAAUGGAAAGCUCAUCACUAAUGAUACGUUUAAUACUGACUCUUCGAAUGUGUCUUCUGAAUUCUCCAUACUUGCUAUAAGCGAGCUUAAGAUGUACCAAAUCUACGACGCGGACGUGACAUAAAAACCGUUGCUGAUGUUUCGAAUCCAGUUUUAUUUUGCUUCACUAGAGUGUCUCUGACUUUGUUUAUCAACUGGAGGCCAUAAUUUUUAUCCGUGUAAUGAAACUGUUGG